rnacentral:rRNA from 1 species
GAUGAACGCUGGCGGCGUGCCUAAUACAUGCAAGUCGAGCGAACGGACGAGAAGCUUGCUUCUCUGAUGUUAUCGGCGGACGGGUGAGUAACACGUGGAUAACCUACCUAUAAGACUGGGAUAACUUCGGGAAACCGGAGCUAAUACCGGAUAAUAUUUUGAACCGCAUGGUUCAAAAGUGAAAGACGGUCUUGCUGUCACUUAUAGAUGGAUCCGCGCUGCAUUAGCUAGUUGGUAAGGUAACGGCUUACCGAGGCAACGAUGCAUAGCCGACCUGAGAGGGUGAUCGGCCACACUGGAACUGAGAAACGGUCCAGACUCCUACGGGAGGCAGCAGUAGGGAAUCUUCCGCAAUGGGCGAAAGCCUGACGGAGCAACGCCGCGUGAGUGAUGAAGGUCUUCGGAUCGUAAAACUAUGUUAUUAGGGAAGAACAUAUGUGUAAGUAACUGUGAACAUAUUGACGGUACCUAAUCAGAAAGCCACGGCUAACUACGUG